CACAAGUGAAAUGGUGUUUCCUCACCUCAAGGCUUUUUCCUUAAGAACUAUCAAGAAGCAGAUGGUUCCCUCCACCGUAGAUUUAAUCUUUUUGUGAAUCUUGAGCCUUUUGUGAGUCAUAACUUUGGUUUCAAGAAGUUAUUUUCUCUUGGGAAGUAGUUGAUGGUGACUGUAAAAACAUGUAGGGCUUUAUAGCUGUCGGAACUAUUAGAUCUACAUUACAUGAAGAAAGAAGAUAGUUCAACAAUGGAAAUAGCUACUCCACUUCCUACCUAUGCUCAGCUCUCCUAAGAUUUCUUAGGGUGGAUCACUUAUAGUGGAGCUUCUGAUUUUUUAAGGUAGACUUCUUAGGAUUUCUUAGUCUCAACUUGGUGGAUCACUCAGAGUGGAGCUUCUUAAGAGAGCCAUGCCAGAGGAACCCUAAAGUCAAAGUCUGCUAACAGCUGGUGGCAGUUAUUAUCCUGUGAAACCCUCCUUGUAUGAAAGUUUCUUCAGAAACGCUCCAGAAGGCCAUAGAAACAGAUGAGAAUGGAACAGUAUUGUAGCGGGCUGAGUGACAUGUAAACAGUCUGCUCACGCUACCAACUGCUUCUCUGGGGCUUUAUGGAAUGCUUCCAAGCAGGAUCAACCUUGUUCCUACUUCAUUGUGUAUCCUGGGCCUCUGAUCACAAAAUUUAAAACACGAACAUUUUCAUGAACUGCAUGCUCUCUGAUUCACUUAGAUAUAUUUUCUAAAAAAAACAGACACUUGCUAAAAGGAACAAAGUUUUUCUCCAAGAUCUAAGAGCUUUUAUUGCAAUUCUAUUAGAGUUUGCCACAGGCAUCAUUCAGUAUUUGGAUCUGUCUUAGCCACUGUAUUAAUUUGCUCCAAUGAGGAGAUAACAUAUGGAACAGUAAUUGCAGUGAGAAUUACCACCUGAUUAAGUAAUGAUAAGCUGGGCAGCAUAUCUGGCACCAACUCCUUUUCUAUGACUCAAACUCCUGAUACAGAGACUUAACAAGUCUCCUGCUGCAUGAAGUGACUUUGCCUGUAGGGUCCCAUACCAUUACUUUCUCUCAGCUUGGAAGUGACUCUACUGUGUUGCCUGGUUCCUCAGCAUCUUCUAUUCAAUUUCACAGCCCUUCUAUUAACGUAGUUACCUGAAUUAAAAUCCCUCUCUUAUAUACUUAAAGUGGGUAAUAAUUUUUCUGGAUAGCCUACCUGUACAUCAGCUAACUUCCACUAAUCCCAUGGGAUUACAAUUAACGUAUUUCUCUGAGUAUAUAAAAAGAAUGAUUAUGUUUGGCAACUUUUAUAAUCCCCAAAUUACCCUUUUAGAAAAGCUAUUACAGUAGGAAAGGCCAGGAACAGCUAUUUUUUAACAUACUUUAAAAAUAAUUGAUUUAGAACAAUGUUAUAAUCUAAGAUGUUUUCCAAGGACUGAAUGAUGGACAUACUCUUUUCUAUAUUAUCAUUCUUGUCAUUGGGACAAACACCUGACGCUAGCAACGUAAGACAGAGAGAUUCAUUUUGGCUCACAGUUUCCUUGGGUUCAGUCCAUCCUUGGCUGCCUCUCAGGGAGAAAUAGCAUGGUGAAAGGGCAGUAAAGAAGAAAGCUGCUCAGGCCAUAGUGGCCAGGAAUCAGAGAGAUAAUUAUGGGAAGCCUCAGGUAUAAUAAUAUACCUUCCUAGAUCAUACCUUAGUAACCCUGCCCCCACCACACUCCACCUCCUAACAUAUGUUUCAGUACUAAAUUCAUCAAUGGAUGAAUCCACUGAUGAGCACCCCCAUGUUUCAAUUAUCUUCCAAAUAUAUGAGAUAUUUGGAGGCAUUUGAGAUUGAAAUCAUAGCAUUGUCCUCCUUGCUCCCAAAUGGCUCAUGCCUAUCUCAUUAUACAAAGUGUAUUUAGUUCAUCUGUGAUCUUUAAUUAUGAUAUGUCAGGUUUCCUCAAGUAAGAGCCACCUACCAUAUUAUUAAAGUUUCGGUGCGUCUGUGAAUGAUUGCCACACAGAUCAACACACUGAAGGGUGAGAGGACACCCACUGUAGAAGUGGAUGGUGCCAACAAAUAAUCUCGUAUCUUGGGCAGAAUAAAAAAGGAAAGAAAGAAGAAUGACCUAUUUGGAGGAACAUCAGUCUUCAUCCUUACCUUUGGACACUGAUUUCCAAUCUCUUUCAACAUGUACUUUCCAAUCUUUUGACACAGACUCACACCAGUGACUCUGCAAUGAGCUUCCGGGCCUUCAACUUCCCACUGAAACUGGAUUCUCUGUCUCUCCAGCACGCAGAUGGCCAUUUUGGAUUAUUCUGCAUCUGAUUCCACAGACAGCACUAUGGCUAUUCUACUUAUAAUCCUGUAAGCCUAUUUAAUAAAUCUGUGUUUAAUUAUA